rnacentral:rRNA from 1 species
AUGCAAGUCGAGCGGUAACAGAUCCAGCUUGCUGGAUGCUGACGAGCGGCGGACGGGUGAGUAAUGCAUAGGAAUCUGCCCGAUAGUGGGGGAUAACCUGGGGAAACCCAGGCUAAUACCGCAUACGUCCUACGGGAGAAAGGGGGCUCCGGCUCCCGCUAUUGGAUGAGCCUAUGUCGGAUUAGCUAGUUGGUGAGGUAACGGCUCACCAAGGCCACGAUCCGUAGCUGGUCUGAGAGGAUGAUCAGCCACAUCGGGACUGAGACACGGCCCGAACUCCUACGGGAGGCAGCAGUGGGGAAUAUUGGACAAUGGGGGAAACCCUGAUCCAGCCAUGCCGCGUGUGUGAAGAAGGCCCUCGGGUUGUAAAGCACUUUCAGCGAGGAAGAACGCCUAGCGGUUAAUACCCGCUAGGAAAGACAUCACUCGCAGAAGAAGCACCGGCUAACUCCGUGCCAGCAGCCGCGGUAAUACGGAGGGUGCGAGCGUNAAUCGGAAUUACUGCGCGUAAAGCGCGCG